rnacentral:rRNA from 1 species
GAUGAACGCUGGCGGUGUGCCUAAGGCAUGCAAGUCGAACGAGAUCCCUGCUUCGGCAGGGUGACAGUGGCAGACGGGUGAGUAAUGCGUAGGAAUCUACCCUGAAGUGGGGAAUAGCCC